UACGUAGGGGGCGAGCGUUAUCCGGAUUCAUUGGGCGUAAAGAGCGCGUAGGCGGCUUGGUAAGUCAGAUGUGAAAACUGGGGGCUCAACCCGCAGCCUGCAUCUGAAACUGCCAGGCUUGAGUCUGGUAGAGGAAAGUGGAAUUCCAGGUGUAGCGGUGAAAUGCGCAGAUAUCUGGAGGAACACCAGUGGCGAAGGCGGCUUUCUGGGCCACGACUGACGCUGAGGCGCGAAAGCUAGGGGAGCAAAC
rnacentral:rRNA from 1 species